rnacentral:tRNA from 1 species
UGUGGCAGACUAGUGCAAUGAAUUUAAGCUUCAU